UACGGAGGGUGCUAGCGUUGUUCGGAAUCACUGGGCGUAAAGCGCGUGUAGGCGGCCCACUAAGUCUGAUGUGAAAGCCCGGGGCUCACCCCCGGAAGUGCAUUGGAAACUGGUGGACUCGAGUCCCGGAGAGGAGAGUGGAAUUCCUGGUGUAGCGGUGAAAUGCGUAGAUAUCAGGAGGAACACCGGUGGUGAAGGCGGCUCUCUGGACGGUGACUGACGCUGAGACGCGAAAGCGUGGGGAGCAAACAGG
rnacentral:rRNA from 1 species